GCCGCGUGUGUGAAGAAGGCCUUCGGGUUGUAAAGCACUUUCAGUUGUGAGGAAAGGUUGAUGGUUAAUACCCAUUAGCUAUGACGUUAGCAACAGAAGAAGGACCGGCUAACUCCGUGCCAGCAGCCGCGGUAAUACGGAGGGUCCGAGCGUUAAUCGGAAUUACUGGGCGUAAAGCGCACGCAGGCGGUUUGUUAAGCUAGAUGUGAAAGCCCCGGGCUCAACCUGGGAAUAGCAUUUAGAACUGGCAGACUAGAGUCUUGGAGAGGGGAGUGGAAUUCCAGGUGUAGCGGUGAAAUGCGUAGAUAUCUGGAGGAACAUCAGUGGCGAAGGCGACUCCCUGGCCAAAGACUGACGCUCAUGUGCGAAAGUGUGGGUAGCGAACAGGAUUAGAUACCCUGGUAGUCCACACCGUAAACGCUGUCUACUAGCUGUUUGUGGAUUUA
rnacentral:rRNA from 1 species